CUUUCACAGUAUUUAUAUAGGACUUAAGCCUGCUUUAUAAUAAAAAAAAAAACAUGAAAAUCUCACUUUUUUAUAAUAUGGGACCUUUAAGAAGAAGAAGGGCUACUUUAUUAAUCCUCUUAGGUAUUUCAAUUCUACUGUAACUUUUAUACUGAGUCCUGAUAGCUAACUAAAGAAGCAGCACUGAGCCAGUCUUUGUGCUGAGUUGAGUUGCGCCCGGGGUCCCAGCCUGCCCUCCUUCCUGCUAGCACACACACAUACACAGUGCUGCCAUUCAUCUCACCUCUGGAUUAACAAGCUCUUAUCCUUGCAAGUAUGUUCGGGGGGCAGGAAAGUGUGGGGGGAAAAAAAGGUGUUCCUCCACCUCAGGUUUCUGAACUGGCACGCUGAACUACCGGAGUGGUGACAUGAACUCCCUGCUCUCGCUUGUUAAAUAUCUAUCAGUCGCUUUAUUGUUAGGAAGACUGGAAUUUAUAGGCUGCAGUUAAAGGAUGCUGGCUCAUCCUGAAAGCUGAGUUUGGUAGGCAUUGUUGGGUGUUUGAAGCCAACAGACACAAUAAAAUGUUUAGUAGACA